AUACGAGCUGAGAGGCUCUGGGUCCACCUCCCACCCGUGUCUAUCGUACCUUGUUGCUUCGGCGGGCCCGCCGUUUCGACGGCCGCCGGGGAGGCCUUGCGCCCCCGGGCCCGCGCCCGCCGAAGACCCCAACAUGAACGCUGUUCUGAAAGUAUGCAGUCUGAGUUGAUUAUCGUAAUCAGUUAAAACUUUCAACAACGGAUCUCUUGGUUCCGGCAUCGAUGAAGAACGCAGCGAAAUGCGAUAAGUAAUGUGAAUUGCAGAAUUCAGUGAAUCAUCGAGUCUUUGAACGCACAUUGCGCCCCCUGGUAUUCCGGGGGGCAUGCCUGUCCGAGCGUCAUUGCUGCCCUCAAGCACGGCUUGUGUGUUGGGCCCCCGUCCCCCUCUCCCGGGGGACGGGCCCGAAAGGCAGCGGCGGCACCGCGUCCGGUCCUCGAGCGUAUGGGGCUUUGUCACCUGCUCUGUAGGCCCGGCCGGCGCCAGCCGACACCCAACUUUAUUUUUCUAAGGUUGACCUCGGAUCAGGUAGGGAUACCCGCUGAACUUAAGCAUAUCA
rnacentral:rRNA from 1 species